rnacentral:rRNA from 1 species
UAUCCUACGGGGGGCAGCAGUGGGGAAUAUUGCACAAUGGGGGAAACCCUGAUGCAGCAAGGCCGCGUGAGUGAAGAAGUCAUUCGUGAUGUAAAGCUCUAUCAGCAGGGAAGAAAAUGACGGUACCUGAGUAAGAAGCCCCGGCUAACUACGUGCCAGCAGCCGCGGUAAUACGUAGGGGGCAAGCGUUAUCCGGAUUUACUGGGUGUAAAGGGAGCGUAGACGGUGAUGCAAGUCAGAAGUGAAAGCCCGCGGCUCAACUGCGGGACUGCUUUUGAAACUGUAUAACUAGA